AUGCAAAGCACUAGCAAACUGUGUGUUGCCUCUGCAUCCGCGCAACCUGCUGUCCGCAGGUUCGAUUGUUGGGCAGACCUUACAGAUGGCCCGCUAAGCUCCAUUCUUGCACUAUCAGGAUCCUUCCGUGAUGUUCUGCCGUUUGCUGCAACGUGCCGCUCUUGGCGUGCUGCAUUUUCCUCAUACCCAUCAAAAUCUACAUUCUGCACCAAAUUCCCGCCUCUCCUCGUCCAAUUCAAUGCCCGUGUUCAAGCUCCCGAUCUCCCUUCUAACAAUGGUCGUCAAAAGCUACGCACAUGUAAGGUCAUUGAUCCGAUCAACAAGAACAUCGCCCUGCGGUGCCAAAUUCCUCGGGAAAUUUAUCAGAAGAUGCAAUUCGCUGGCACUUCCUAUGGUCAACUAAUUUGCUGCCACGCUGGAUAUUGUCUUGUUGUUGAUGUGUUCAGUGGUGCCAAGGUUUCUCCUCCACGUCUCCCAUUCACCGGUGAUUGUGAGAAGGAGUUCUACUUCUACGUUAGCGGCACUCUGACAGCUCCCCUUGCAUCACCCAACUCACACCUCCUUGUCAGUACUGCAACCGCCCUGUUUGAUUGGUCUGUUGGAAGUGACUCUUGGUCUGUACUCCAGCUUUCUGAUGCGCCGAUUGAAAAGAUUGUGGAAUUCAAUGGUCAGUUCAUCGCCAUGGAUGAUUUUUACAAGAUCUACACAUUGCAGCUGUCCCCCCAGCUGGGUCUGCAGGAGAUAACAACUGAGUGGGUUGGUGACCUGGCCCCAAGCUCUGACGCCAAACCAUGGCUAGUGGUCUGUGGCAACAUGCUUCUUAUGGUUUACUGUUUCAGUACAACGAGUCUAGGCUGCUCAGUAGUACAAUGUAUACCCCACCACCUUGACAUGUCGACCAGCCCUGCAAAAUGGGUGGAGGUACGCCAGCUGGAUAAUUGGGAACUCUUUGUCGGGGGUGAUGUGAGGAGCCGGCUGUUUUCUUGCAGGAGUCCGGAGAGGUGGGGUGGGAGGAGCAAGUGGCUGUACUAUGCUGGCCGUCGCUCUUUUAUUGUACAUGGAGUGGGAGACGAGCGAGAUCCAUCUGCUGGUCCAAAUGUAGAGUACAAGAGAAGCUCGUCUGGCAGGUUGCAGCCCCUCUGGGUGUAUCCAAGCAUGUUCUACUCUGGUGUCCAGUGA
rnacentral:rRNA from 1 species